CACCUGAAUGGGUCAGGGGGUGCUGUGAGGAGGACCUGAGGCUGCUCCUUCUCUCCAGUUCCCUCCUUUUUCCACUCUGUCUUGACCUCCAAGGACAAGGACAAAGAGGAAGGGGCACAUGCCUAUGGCCAUGGAUACAGAGAAAGAAACUGAGGUCAAGAAAGGUUAACUAACUGGUCCAAGGCCACAUGGCUAUAAUCACACAACAGGGAUCUGACACCAGUCUGCUUGACUCUAGGCAUCUGCUCUUGACCACAAUAGGGAUAGAUAUGGACAGACAUUACUGGUGAUGUAAAGGAGACUGGAACAAGAGGAAGAAGCGGGGGACAGCCAGGUUCCUAGAGCGUAACUGCACCCAGAGGGAAUGGGACUGAUGGGAGUCCUUGAGAUCACCUCGUGCAGCCGCAACACAGGAAACCCUCACCUUACUGCCCUGGGCCCCAGCAGGAUCCUCCCCAACCCAGAGGUUCAUCUGUGGGCUUAGAGGUGAAGAUUGAUGGGGGCCUGGGUACGACAUCUGCCAGCCUUCCAACAGGUCUGGAAGAGGGAGAGGGAUUCUGCUCUAAGGUUGAU